rnacentral:rRNA from 1 species
GGGUUGUGAGGUUAAGCGACUAAGCGUACACGGUGGAUGCCCUGGCAGUCAGAGGCGAUGAAGGACGUGCUAAUCUGCGAAAAGCGCCGGCGAGGUGAUAUGAACCUUUGACCCGGCGAUGUCCGAAUGGGGAAACCCAGUGCAAUUCGUUGCACUAUCGUUAACUGAAUACAUAGGUUAACGAGGCGAACCGGGGGAACUGAAACAUCUAAGUACCCUGAGGAAAAGAAAUCAACCGAGAUUCCCCCAGUAGCGGCGAGCGAACGGGGAGCAGCCCAGAGUCUGAAUCAGCUUGUGUGUUAGUGGAAGCGUCUGGAAAGUCGCACGGUACAGGGUGACAGUCCCGUACACGAAAGCACACAGGCUGUGAACUCGAAGAGUAGGGCGGGACACGUGGUAUCCUGUCUGAAUAUGGGGGGACCAUCCUCCAAGGCUAAAUACUCCUGACUGACCGAUAGUGAACCAGUACCGUGAGGGAAAGGCGAAAAGAACCCCGGCGAGGGGAGUGAAAAAGAACCUGAAACCGUGUACGUACAAGCAGUGGGAGCACCUUCGUGGUGUGACUGCGUACCUUUUGUAUAAUGGGUCAGCGACUUAUAUUCUGUAGCAAGGUUAACCGUAUAGGGGAGCCGAAGGGAAACCGAGUCUUAACUGGGCGUUAAGUUGCAGGGUAUAGACCCGAAACCCGGUGAUCUAGCCAUGGGCAGGUUGAAGGUUGGGUAACACUAACUGGAGGACCGAACCGACUAAUGUUGAAAAAUUAGCGGAUGACUUGUGGCUGGGGGUGAAAGGCCAAUCAAACCGGGAGAUAGCUGGUUCUCCCCGAAAGCUAUUUAGGUAGCGCCUCGUGAACUCAUCUUCGGGGGUAGAGCACUGUUUCGGCUAGGGGGCCAUCCCGGC